CACACUGUAAACGAUGAUAACUCGCUGUCGGCGAUACACAGUCGGUGGCCAAGCGAAAGCGAUAAGUUAUCCACCUGGGGAGUACGACCGCAAGGUUGAAACUCAAAGGAAUUGACGGGGGCCCGCACAAGCGGAGGAACAUGUGGUUUAAUUCGAUGAUACGCGAGGAACCUUACCCGGGCUCGAACGGUGCAUGAAUAGAUCAGAGAUGGUUUAGUCCUUCGGGACGAUGUAUCGAGGUGCUGCAUGGUUGUCGUCAGCUCGUGCCGUGAGGUGUCGGCUUAAGUGCCAUAACGAGCGCAACCCUUGUCGUUAGUUGCCAUCAGGUAAUGCUGGGAACUCUAGCGAGACUGCCACCGUAAGGUGC
rnacentral:rRNA from 1 species